UAGAGUUUGAUCCUGGCUCAGAUUGAACGCUGGCGGCAGGCUUAACACAUGCAAGUCGAACGGUAGCAGGAGAAAGCUUGCUUUCUUGCUGACGAGUGGCGGACGGGUGAGUAAUGCUUGGGAAUCUGGCUUAUGGAGGGGGAUAACUUCGGGAAACUGUAGUUAAUACCGCGUAAUAUCGAAAGAUUAAAGUGUGGGACCUUCGGGCCACAUGCCAUGGGAUGAGCCCAAGUGGGAUUAGGUAGUUGGUGGGGUAAAGGCCUACCAAGCCUGCGAUCUCUAGCUGGUCUGAGAGGAUGGCCAGCCACACUGGAACUGAGACACGGUCCAGACUCCUACGGGAGGCAGCAGUGGGGAAUAUUGCGCAAUGGGGGGAACCCUGACGCAGCCAUGCCGCGUGAAUGAAGAAGGCCUUCGGGUUGUAAAGUUCUUUCGGUAUUGAGGAAGGUUGAUGUGUUAAUAGUACAUCAAAUUGACGUUAAAUACAGAAGAAGCACCGGCUAACUCCGUGCCAGCAGCCGCGGUAAUACGGAGGGUGCGAGCGUUAAUCGGAAUAACUGGGCGUAAAGGGCACGCAGGCGGUUAUUUAAGUGAGGUGUGAAAGCCCCGGGCUUAACCUGGGAAUUGCAUUUCAGACUGGGUAACUAGAGUACUUUAGGGAGGGGUAGAAUUCCACGUGUAGCGGUGAAAUGCGUAGAGAUGUGGAGGAGUACCGAAGGCGAAGGCAGCCCCUUGGGAAUGUACUGACGCUCAUGUGCGAAAGCGUGGGGAGCAAACAGGAUUAGAUACCCUGGUAGUGCACGCUGUUAAACGCUGUCGAUUUGGGGAUUGGGCUUGGAGCUUGGUGCCCGUAGCUAACGUGAUAAAUCGACCGCCUGGGGGGUACGGCCGCAAGGUUAAAACUCAAAUGAAUUGACGGGGGCCCGCACAAGCGGUGGAGUAUGUGGUUUAAUUCGACGCAACGCGAAGAACCUUACCAGGUCUUGACAUUGAUGGACAGAACCAGAGAUGGUUCCUCUUCUUCGGAAGCCAGAAAACAGGUGGUGCACGGUUGUCGUCAGCUCGUGUCGUGAGAUGUUGGGUUAAGUCCCGCAACGAGCGCAACCCCUAUCUUAUGUUGCCAGCACGUAAAGGUGGGAACUCAUGAGAGACUGCCGCAGACAAUGCGGAGGAAGGCGGGGAUGACGUCAAAUCAUCAUGCCCCUUAUGACCUGGGCUACACACGUACUACAAUGGGAGUUAAUAGACGGAAGCGAGAUCGCGAGAUGGAGCAAACCCGAGAAACACUCUCUCAGUUCGGAUCGUAGGCUGCAACUCGCCUACGUGAAGUCGGAAUCGCUAGUAAUCGCAGGUCAGCAUACUGCGGUGAAUACGUUCCCGGGCCUUGCACACACCGCCCGUCA
rnacentral:rRNA from 1 species